rnacentral:misc_RNA from 1 species
AUUUCCCCAAUGGGUUCUCCGGAUUUCUGGAGACUUGUAGGGGUUGUGGGAUUUUUGAUGUGUCGUCUCCGGACGGGCGGUGCAGGGUAGUCGAGUUAGACUUGGUGGAAUUCCGUCGAUAGGAGUUCCGUCGAGUCUGGUCGGCUGUGUGUUGGACGGUGCAGGGUAGGCUGCUUGGACAUGGUCGGUUCGAGGAUCGAUUCGAGGGCCGGCCUGUCGAUGAUGUGUGAUGUAUGCGGUCUAGGGUAGGCUGGUUUGUCUUGGUUCAAUUUGAUGUCGGCUCCCGUGCAGGCCAGAGUGAGGGGGGUCCAGGGUAGGUACAGGGUAGGCAGCUUAGAUUUGGUCGAUCUGGAGGUCGAUUCUCCGGCUGGCGGAUCUGACACUGUCGAAACGAGAUGCGAGCGGUGUAGGGUAGGCUAGUUUCGCCCUCGCCAGGUUGCGAUUUGGACGAGAUAUGUGGUUUAGUGUAUGCUCUAGGGUAAGUAGAAUUCGAGUUUCGUCGCCGACAGUUUUCUGUGGGUGUAUGGUAGGUACAGGGUAGGCAAAUCUCUCUCCGGCCAGUACUUGUCUGGUGGUCGUGAGUCGAUUUUUUUGUUUU